rnacentral:lncRNA from 1 species
GAGUUAUUGGGGGGUGGUGUGUUUUUCACUACUUCUCUGGAGGGUUCCACAUCAUGUUAAAAUCUUUCCAACUGCCAAGAGUUUUCUGGCUUUAGUCUCACGCAGAGCUGACACUCCCAGCUCUGAGAAUGGACUUGGGACUCAGAAGUUGGUCACUGAGUUCUAGGGGUGCAGCAGUUUGGCAUGUGUGAGGCCCUGGAUUCAACGGCAGCUCCAAAGAGGAGGAGGAGGGAGAGGGGGAGGAGAAGGGAGGUGGAGGAGGGAGGAGGAGGGCACUGAGCCAAGUAAAGUUCCUUUAAACUUGCUGUCCACCUUCUUUGUCUUUCUCCCAUACAGGGCCUUUGCUGCCUUUAGCCUCCCCUCUGGCUUUCCUGGAAUUAGGAACCCUGCCGGGCAAGUCCUAUGGCCACACGAGGGCGACAUGGACUCAGCUCCUCCACUAGGAAGACACCCAGUUACACAAGAGGAAAGGAAACCAAUGAGAAUCAAGAAAGGCUCCACAAGUGAGGUCAUCUUAAGCAGAGAGCUGAAGGGCAUGGAUAUGCAAGAACAAAGCAGAGACCCCCACGAGAGCUAGAAUGCUACAGGAAUGGUGAGGUCUAUCAGACACUUGCAUGGUGGGGAGGUGAGGCUGAGGAAGUAGGAAGGCACUGCACUGUGAAUGACUUUAAAGGCUUUUUUUUUCUAGAACUAGGGAUUGAACUCAAGGCCUUGCACAUGCUGGGCAAGCAGUCUAUCACUGAGCUACAUCUCCACCCUUCUUUAAAUUUUAUUUUGACACAGAGUCUUGCUAAUUCACCCAGGCUGGGUGCAAAUUUGCAAUUCUUGUGUCUCAGCCUCCCAAGUAGCUGGGAUUACAGGUGAACUAGUACCCAGUGCUUCUCAAACCAUAUGUAAAGAAGAACAAGCUUUUUUUGUUUUUUCCUUCUAAC